rnacentral:rRNA from 1 species
GAUGAGCGCUGGCGGCGUGCCUAAUACAUGCAAGUCGAGCGAAUGGAUUAAGAGCUUGCUCUUAUGAAGUUAGCGGCGGACGGGUGAGUAACACGUGGGUAACCUGCCCAUAAGACUGGGAUAACUCCGGGAAACCGGGGCUAAUACCGGAUAAUAUUUUGAACUGCAUGGUUCAAAAUUGAAAGGCGGCUUCGGCUGUCACUUAUGGAUGGACCCGCGUCGCAUUAGCCAGUUGGUGAGGUAACGGCUCACCAAGGCAACGAUGCGUAGCCGACCUGAGAGGGGGAUCGGCCACACUGGGACUGAGACACGGCCCAGAGUCCUACGGGAGGCAGCAGUAGGGAAUCUUCCGCAAUGGACGAAAGUCUGACGGAGCAACGCCGCGUGAGUGAUGAAGGCUUUCGGGUCGUAAAACUCUGUUGUUAGGGAAGAACAAGUGCUAGUUGAAUAAGCUGGCACCUUGACGGUACCUAACCAGAAAGCCACGGCUAACUACGUGCCAGCCGCCGCCGUAA